rnacentral:rRNA from 1 species
GACCCCGCACAAGCAGCGGAGCAUGUUGUUUAAUUCGAAGCAACGCGAAGAACCUUACCAGGGCUUGACAUCUAGCAAAUCCUUUGGAAACAGAGGAGUGCCCUUCGGGGAAUGCUAAGACAGGUGGUGCAUGGUUGUCGUCAGCUCGUGUCGUGAGAUGUUGGGUUAAGUCCCGCAACGAGCGCAACCCUUACGGUCAGUUACCAGCGAGUUAAGUCGGGGACUCUGACAGGACAGCCGGGGUAACCCGGAGGAAGGUGGGGACGACGUCAAAUCAUCAUGCUCCUUACGUCCUGGGCUACAAACGUGCUACAAUGGACACAACAAAGGGCAGCAAGGCAGUAAUGCGGAGCGAAACCGAGAAAAGUGUUACUCAGUUCGGAUUGAGGGCUGCAACCCGCCCUCAUGAAGUUGGAGUUGCUAGUAAUCGCAAAUCAAGAAUGUUG